GGAUGUGAGGGAGAUCUGGCUGUGACACCUGUUACCUCAUUGAUCGCCAGGAUUGAUUUGGCGAUCUGCUUGGUUGCAGGGGCGGGAGGGUGCUUAUUCCUUCACUGCUCCAUGUGCAUUUCUCCCAAAGCUGCGGACUGGGUUGGGAUAGACAAGGACCUGUCUUUGGUCAAGGGCAUAUAAUUAGCUGCACUCCCCUGCUAGAACCUCCAAACAAGUUCUCAAGGUUUAUUUGUAGGCGAACUUAAGGUAGUCAAGGUUUCAAAAUUCCAGACACGUCCAAAUGAGGUGUUGCACAUGGCAGUCUGCCUUUAAAA
rfam:Canis lupus familiaris chromosome 19, whole genome shotgun sequence.